rnacentral:rRNA from 1 species
AGCAGUAGCCGCGGGAAAACGAAGGGUGCAAGCGUUACUCGGAAUUACUGGGCGUAAAGCGUGCGUAGGUGGUGGUUUAAGUCCGUUGUGAAAGCCCUGGGCUCAACCUGGGAAUUGCAGUGGAUACUGGGUCACUAGAGUGUGGUAGAGGAUAGUGGAAUUUCCGGUGUAGCAGUGAAAUGCGUAGAGAUCGGAAGGAACAUCUGUGGCGAAGGCGACUAUCUGGGCCAACACUGACGCUGAGGUGCGAAAGCGUGGGGAGCAAACAGGAUUAGAUACCCCGUAGUCCCUGUCUCUUAUACA